UGACAAUUUUGACCUCAAAUCAGGUAAGACUACCCGCUGAACUUAAGCAUAUCAAUAAGCGGAGGA
rnacentral:rRNA from 6 species